rnacentral:tRNA from 1 species
GUUGUAGCUCAGCGGUGGAGCACUUGCCUCGUAUGUGUGAGGCACUGCGUUCGAUUCCCAGCACCACA